GAAUUAACUUCAGAAGUACAUAUACUAAAACUGGAAUGACAGGAAGAUUAGCAUGGCCCCUGAGCAAGAAUGACGGCAAAUUUAUGAAGCAUUCCAUCUAUCU